GAUGAACGCUAGCGGCAGGCUUAACACAUGCAAGUCGAGGGGUAACAUUGGAGCUUGCUUCAGAUGACGACCGGCGCACGGGUGCGUAACGCGUAUGCAAUCUACCUCAUACAGGGGGAUAGGCUUUGGAAACGAAGAUUAAUACCCCAUAGAAUCAUAUAUUCACCUGAAUUAAUGAUUAAAGAUUUAUCGGUAUGAGAUGAGCAUGCGUCCUAUUAGCUAGUUGGUAUGGUAACGGCAUACCAAGGCAACGAUAGGUAGGGGUCCUGAGAGGGAGAUCCCCCACACUGGUACUGAGACACGGACCAGACUCCUACGGGAGGCAGCAGUGAGGAAUAUUGGUCAAUGGAGGCAACUCUGAACCAGCCAUGCCGCGUGCAGGAUGACUGCCCUAUGGGUUGUAAACUGCUUUUAUAUAAGAAGAAACGCAUUUACGAGUUAAGUGUUUGACGGUAUUAUAUGAAUAAGCACCGGCUAACUCCG
rnacentral:rRNA from 1 species